rnacentral:rRNA from 1 species
CCUACGGGUGGCAGCAGUGGGGAAUAUUGGACAAUGGGCGAAAGCCUGAUCCAGCCAUGCCGCGUGUGUGAAGAAGGCCUUCGGGUUGUAAAGCACUUUCAGUGGGGAAGAAAGCCUUGGGGCUAAUACCCUCGAGGAAGGACAUCACCCACAGAAGAAGCACCGGCUAACUCCGUGCCAGCAGCCGCGGUAAUACGGAGGGUGCGAGCGUUAAUCGGAAUUACUGGGCGUAAAGCGCGCGUAGGCGGUCUGAUAAGCCGGUUGUGAAAGCCCCGGGCUCAACCUGGGAACGGCAUCCGGAACUGUCAGGCUAGAGUGCAGGAGAGGAAGGUAGAAUUCCCGGUGUAGCGGUGAAAUGCGUAGAGAUCGGGAGGAAUACCAGUGGCGAAGGCGGCCUUCUGGACUGACACUGACGCUGAGGUGCGAAAGCGUGGGUAGCGAACAGGAUUAGAUACCCCAGUAGUC